rnacentral:rRNA from 1 species
GACGUAGGGCGCGAGCGUUGUCCGGAUUUAUUGGGCGUAAAGAGCUCGUAGGCGGUUUGUCGCGUCUGCUGUGAAAUUUCGGGGCUCAACCCCGAACUUGCAGUGGGUACGGGCAGACUAGAGUGUGGUAGGGGAGACUGGAAUUCCGUGGUGAUAGCGGUGAAAUGCGCAGAUAUCAGGAGGAACACCGAGUGGCGAAGGCAGGUCUCUGGGCCACUAACUGA